rnacentral:rRNA from 1 species
AUAAACGCUGGCGGCGCACAUAAGACAUGCAAGUCGAACGGAAGUCGUUAUUAAAUGGCGAGAAGAUUAUCAGAUCAAAAUUAAUAACAAUGGCGUUUAGUGGCGGACUGGUGAGUAAUGUAUAAGUAACCUGCCUAUCAGAGGGGAACAACAGUUGGAAACGACUGCUAAUACCGCAUAUGCCAUAAUGAAGACAUCUUCAUAGUGGGAAAGGAGUAAUCCGCUGAUAGAUGGACUUAUAUCUGAUUAGUUAGUUGGUGGGGUAACGGCCUACCAAGACGACGAUCAGUAGCCGGACUGAGAGGUUAAACGGCCACAUUGGGACUGAGAUACGGCCCAGACUCCUACGGGAGGCAGCAGUCGGGAAUAUUGCGCAAUGGAGGAAACUCUGACGCAGUGACGCCGCGUGCAGGAAGAAGGUUUUCGGAUUGUAAACUGCUUUAGACAGGGAAGAACAAAGACAGUACCUGUAGAAUAAGCUCCGGCUAACUACGUGCCAGCAGCCGC